CCACCAUCGCCCCACGCCGCAACAGCACCCGCGCAUUGCGCAUGUCGCCCUUGCACGUCGCGCAUGUUGCCCUGCACAACGCACGUCUUCCACUACUUCCAUACCUGCGAGAAAUUGAUCUAAACGGCAGCACAUGCAAAAAAAUAACAGGAUAGAUAGAUUUUUUUUUCAUUUUUUUUGUAUAUCUCGGCUAUAAAAGGCCGAUUUUAAUUUGUAAAGGGGGUUAGACAAAUGAUAUAUUGAAAUAGAGAGAAAAUACAAAGGUAAAGAAUCAGAAAAGAAAAAUUUUGGAAGGUGAUUUUCUUCAUUUCUUUUAUUGCUUUCUCUGUUAUUUUUUCUUUUUUUUUCGGGGUGUGCAAAACAGAAAUAAGGAGGAGAAGAGAAGGUUUUUACCAGUGGUGGCGCGCCAUUGAUGCCCUUGCUGCGUUGCGUCCGAAUCGGAGUUGAAAAGGGGAAGAUUUCAGUGAGAAGCAGAAGAGAAAGAAGCAGUCCUUGCGGGUGCUAUUGCUGAAAUUGGACUGGGGUUUUGAUUUGGGUUUGAAAUGGGUUUUGUUGGCUGCAAAUGAAAUGGGGUUUUAUUAAUGGGCUAUUUACCUUUUUAAUCAUUUUCAUUUUUCCAUCAUUUCAAAAAUUAUGAUUUUAUGUUUUUAAAUUUUGCUAUGAAAUAUUGAAAUUGUUUUAUUUUAAUCCCAUUUAAACGCAGUGCGUGGGAGGUUUGGAAAGAUUCCCCUUCCGGUCCUCCUCCUGUUGCGCGCAUUUUAAUUUGCCCCAAUUUUGUUUAUUUUAAUUACGAAUUUGCCCCAAAUCACUGUUUCAAGUUUUAAAUUGGCCCUUUUGUCAUUAUUAUAUUAUAUUAUUAUAUCUAUAUAUAUAUACACGCAUAUGUAUGUUAAUAUAUAUAUGUACAUAUUUUAAAUGGUUUUACAAUAUAUAUACAUGUCUUAUAUAUUUUAUUAUCACUUUAUUUUUCUUAGUUUUAUAUACAUACAUAUACUUAUAUUUUAUAAUUUUCAUACACUUUUUCAUAUUUUUUAAUCCAAAUAUAUAUAUUUUUAAUAUAUGUAUAUACAUAUACUAUUCAAAAUUAUUAAAUAUAUUUUCCGCAUUUUUCUUGCAUAUAGAUAUAUAUACACAUUUUUCAUAAGUUAUUAAUAUAUUUUACUUAUAUUUUUUAUAUACCUAUACAUAUUUUACACUCUAUUUUCAUAACUUUUAUAUACAUGUCUAAUAUAUGCAUAUGCAUAUUUUUAAAAUUUACUUAUAUAUCAUAUUUUAUUUUGCAAACAUAUGUACAUGUUUUAUUAUUUUAUUUUUAUAAUUUUUUGUAUACGUGUAUAUAUAUGCAUUAACAUUUUUAUAAUACAUUUACAUGUAUAGUUUAAAUUAAAGUAUUGGUUUUAUGUGGUACAUUAGCAUUUUACUAUAUUUUUUAAAGAAAAUAUAUUUUGGUUUUGUCAAAGCAUUAAAAUCAUCAUAUUUUAUAAAUUUCCAAAAUAUUUGGCAUUCAUGAUUCUCGAGAAAAUAAUCGUGUCCUAACGUAUUGGAUUUCGAUUGAUUUUCGAUGAAUUUAGAUAGCCAAGUAUGUAUUUUUCAAUAAAAUCACACAAAUUUCAAACAAAAGCUUAUUCUCGAGAAUCCAAAAUGUCGGGUCCUAACUUACUGGUCAUGACAUUUUGUCCUCUCGAAAUAAGAAUUUCUAAAACAAAAGGCAGUAUUUGGUAUAUGAAAUUUUGAGAAAUUGUGCCCUAACGUAUUGGGUUUCGAUUUUCUUCAUUCGAUCUAAAUAAUCGAAUAUCCCCUUAAAUUUAAAAUGCAUGAGUUUUAAGAAAUCACAAGACAAAUUUGAUUUUUGAAGAUUUAAAAAUAUUGUGCCCUAACUCACUGGGUGUGAUGUUUUAUGUCUUUGAGAUAAGAAUGUUUUGUUGUUUUAAUUCAUUCAUGAGUAAAAAGUUUUCUUUUAAAAUCUUUUCAAAUUUUCGACACCAAGACAUAAAACAAUCAAUUCGGUACCGAUUUUGGGCGUUACGAGGGUGUUAACCCUUCCUCGUGCGUAACUGACUCCCGAACCCAUUUUUCUCAGAUUUUUAGACCAGAAUUGUUUUUAUGGUGAGCCGAUCACACCUUAAUAAAGGAUCGGUGGCGACUCCAAUUUUUUUUAAAGUCGACAACUAAAUUUUUGUUUUCAAAAAAAUGGUUUCGAUAGCUUGGCGACUCCACUGGGGACCUAGAGAGUCGAGCCAUAAAAUUGAUUAUUUUGUGUCUUCUUGUCGAAAAUUAAUGUUGUUUUAGCAAUGAUUUCCCCUUUUGCAUUCAUUGGUUUCCUUUGUUAUGUAUUUGCUUAAUUGAUCUAAGUCUUUUAGUUUAUUUGCAUUUUGCAUUUCAUAGUCAAUUUUACCCCUCUAAGUGGGAGUGAGAAGCUGCUCCUUCGUGAGGUUUUCACCUCCGUGUAGGAUAGUGGAUCACUUUCGGGAUAUAUCUGUACCUAUGUCUUCGUGAGAUUUUCAUCUCUGUGCAACCAUAGGGAAAUGUAUUCCCCUGAACCAAACUCGGUCCAUAUGAGCCUAUAAUGGGCGAGGACCGAGGAAUCUGCUGGUUCGGGUACCCUUGCUUUAGAAGCCAAACCACAUAUAGUGAACCUUAGGAACUUUCCCGAAGUAGAACUAUGCGAAACUCCUAGAGGUCACCCGAGUAGGUACUCUAUUUAUUUUCUUGUUCGUUUUUGUUUUGUACUAACCCGCUUUCUUUUGUUUUGAUUAUGAUUGCAUUGCAUUUGCAUCUUGGAAAAGAAAUGUUGAUUCAAGUUCGAUUACUAACUUAGAAAGCUUGUCAUGGAAUACGGAUUUCUUGAUAAAAUGGAAGAUAAUACAGUUGCUUGAAUAUAUUCCGAGAAACACAAGAAGGGUGAUGGAAGAGUUCAUGACUUUACUUCGUGGCCCUAGGAUUCAAGCUGAUUAUUCGAGAGCUACCGACAUUCCAACUUCCUUAAAGAAGCUGAUAAGCCUUACGAGGAUGGGCAGACGAUGGAUUGCAACCAAGAUCAAGCAAAAAUGAGCUAGUAGUGUUGUUCAUUGAAAAUUUACGAGAUUUAUCUUAAACAUCCAGAUGAAGUAAGAGGUUGAUGUUUCUUGAAGUAUGAGGGCGAGGCCGUACAUGCAUCCGUUUUAUGUAAAGAAGUUUGUCUUCUAGUGAAGUUUUCUAAAUGGAAUUGAAUCAGAAUCAACGUCUCUUUAUGCAUUCAUUUCAUGCAUUCGCAUUACAUGACAUCAUAUGCAUUAAAAUCCAUUGAAAAAGCCUAAUUGAGUAAAAUUAUUUUAGUUAAUUUGGAAAACCAACACCCUCACGGCACCCAAGUAAAGGCUAGAGAAAUGGACCAAAGGUUGGAGAAAUUAGAGCAAAUGCAAGUGCGGAUGCAAGAGCAAUUGACCAAAUUUCAGCAAGAUAUGAGAGAUCAGUUGUUAGAAUUCCAAAGAAAUAUAAUGUGUUAGUUAACCCAGUUAUUGGCUAAAGGGUUAGAAAGAGGAAAGACCCCAGUGGUCCACUUUGGGGAUAAUAAUGAGGACCCUACAUAUCCUUCAGGCUUCACCCCAACAAAUACCCAAGCACAACCAAAUGUAUAUCCACAAAGCGUAAUUGUUAACAUCUGACCCCAAUAUCAGACCAGCACCUCGACACCGGUGAAUUUCCAGACUGGCUCAGGUUCCAACUCGAUGGGCAAUUUAACUAAUCCUGUUAUCAUUGAUGAUCAAGCAGAAAUAGAACAUGCGAGGGUGGAGUUCCCAAAACAAUUUGAAGAUCGUUACAAACGGAAAGGGCGAGAGUGGAACUCUCAAAUCAAUACUUUAAAGGCCCCAAGGAAGAAAGGGAAUAAGGGGGAUAAUGUAGGCAGAUAUAACAGGGGCUACUCAAAACCAAUCACUGUGGGUCGACCAAAGACGAAGACCACCAGCUAUCAGGGCCCUUUAAAGCAAGAAUCUUAUACGAAGACAAAUACAGAUGGGCCUCAGUUUACGCCUAUACCGAUGUCAUAUAGCGAGCUAUAUCAAAGCCUAUUUAAUGUACAUGUGUUGUCCCCAUUCUAUUUGAAACCAAUGUUGCCCCCAUUUCCUAAAUGGUAUAAUGCAAAUGCUCAGUGUGAAUACCAUGCAGGAAUUGCGGGGCAUUCGAUAGAAAAUUGUACCGCUUUCAAGAAAUUGGUUGAAAGGCUCAUCAAUAUGGGCAUUGUUAGAUUUGAGGAUUCAUCGAGUGUGGAAAAUAUGCUACCCAAUCAUAUUGAUAAUGGGGUGAAUGCGAUGUAUGAAAAAGUGUAGGGGAACGUUCACAUCAAUGCCAUACAUAAAGGCACAAUUGAAAAGGGACCUUAUUAGAUAUCUAUCCUUAUAAACUUGGGAGUGUCUUAAAUAAUCGGAUUGUAGAAGAAAUCUCUAUAGUAUUUAGAGCUUGCUUAGAGUAAUGUUCAAAACACACUUGUUGCUUUUAGCCUAGAGGCAAUAAGAAUUUCUUUGUGAAAUAUGCUCAUGUCUGAAUGUCGUUAUUUUAAUGAAAUGCAUCAUUGCGAUCAUUUUUGAACCAAUAUUCUUUCAGUCUGUCUGAAUAGUUAUUCUUUCAUUCUUUUGGAUUUUAUUCCACAUCAUUCAUUCAUUCAUAAUCAUAUUGUACAGAUAGUUCUUCAUAAAUUUAUACAUUCUUUUGUAUAUUUUUUGGUAUUUAUUAUGGGCCCCCAGAUAUCAAUGACAUGAAUGACAUUGCUACUGAUUUAGAAUCUCUUUUUGAGCAAGACAUGUGUUUAGAGGGAUCUCAUGACUUUGAAGAUGACAUAGAUCGUAGCCUAUCUCCAGACUUGUUGAGGAUGGUAGAGUAAGAAGAGAACAAAUUUUACCUCUUGAAGAGACAGUGGAGAUUGUGACUUUAAGAGAACAUACAUAACCGAAGAAACGAAGCAAGACCUUGUUAAGUUACUUCAAGAGUUCAAAGAUGUCUUCGUAUGGUUAUACCAGGAUAUGCCCAGGUUAAGCACUGAUAUUGUAAUCUGAGCAAUAGCACAACGUUAACAAUUUGCAGUAUGUUCAAGAUUCACAUAAUGAACGAUGCAAUUAGAAUUCUUUACUGGGGCAAUACCUUCUUCUCUGGCUUAUCCCGUUGAAGUCAAGUUGUCAUUUUUUUGUAUUUUUGUUGGAUUUCAUCCUAAUUGAAGAAGAAGAUCUAAAAUUUUCUCGUCAUAGUUAAAUUUCGCCCCAAAAGGCUCUAUGAGAGAAACCUGAUACCAAAGAAGAUCUUUCGCAUACAAAAUAAAAGUGGAAUAUCUUAUGGGGAAGACCUUAUCUGGAAUAAUAUUGAUUCUGAUCGAAAAGAAUGACCAGGACUUGCCUAAUACUAUGAGUGCAGAUUCAAUGAAAAAAAGGCAAAAAAAAAAGAACAAAAAAUAAAAAGAAAAAGAAAUAGAAAAAAAACUCUCUACCGAGGUAAUGUCUUUCUCUUUAGCUUAUCACGGUUUUUCCAUUGAAGUUAAAAUUAUUUCUCUUCGGAUAUUGGCUGAGCUGAAGUAGGAUGAAGAUCCAAUCUCGAUAAGAUCAGUUGAACUUAAUUGAAUGAAAUAGGCUAAAAGCUAUUCGUCAUUGCCAGAUGUACCAAAAACGGAUGAUGCGAGCUUACAACAAAAAAGGGGUUCGUCCUAGAGAAUUUCAUGAGGGAGACCUGGUAUUGAAAAAGAUCCUUCCUCUACAAAAGGAUUUUAGAGAAAAAUGAGUGCCAAAUUGGGAAUGUCCUUAUGUUGUAAAGAAGACCUUUUUUGGAGGAGCACUGAUUUUGAGUGAGAUGGAUAGUAAAAACUUGUCUAAUCUUGUAAACUCAGAAUCAGUCAAGAAAUACUUCGCUUAAAGAAGGAGAGGGCCAAGGUAAAAACUCGUAAAGGGCACUUUGAGUCACAAAAAAAAGAGAAGAAAAAAGAUGUGAAAAAAGUAAAAAUAGAGAGGCUAAGGUGAAAACUCACAAAGGGCGCCUUAGACUAAAGGGGAUUUAGUUGAAAACCCGAAAAGGGCAGCUCAAAUUUUGAUCAGGAUAGGGCUGGAAGUGACCAGGGCAGCUCAAAUUUUGAUCAGAAUAGGGCUGGAAGUGAUCAGAGUGGCUCAGAUUUUGAUUGGAAUGGGGCAUGUGGUGGUCUUGAUAUACCUGAAUCAGCAGGAAAGGGUAUGCGACAUCUUGGGCCAUCAACAGAGUUCUGUAGAUCUCUUAAACACAUGUCAAACUCAGAAUGGUCUUCAGGAAGUUUGUACAGAGAAGUUCAAGCUGCAUUAUCUGGGGCACCUAGUCUUCAUACUAUUUAUAUUGAAUUGCCUGUUCUUGGAAUACUUCAUUCUUUUUCAAGAUACAAGUCAAUUCCUCUUGUAUUCUUAAUAUUCUUGAUAAUAUGUUCAUUUCAAGCUAUGUUCUCAAACCAAUUCUAUUUUAUCUUUUAUUUUGUUCUUUUUGCAAAUGUGUUGCAUUAGAAUAAUGAUCAAUUGACCAAUAAAACUUUCACAAUGGAAGUUUUGCAUAUUACUCUAAAAGUUUCUAAAUAAUACGGUAACCUGAAACAGGACUAUUAUUUAGAAAGCACCAAGUUUAAAGGUUGAAAUAUCUAGGAAUGAAAAGUCUAAAUUGAGACUAUCCCUUCAGAUUUUGUUGUCAAGGCAUUGAUUGAACAAAAUGAUAAGAUGUCGUGUCGGUGAUAAGGCUUCAAUGAACAAGCGAACAAUGAUCACCAAGCAAUAAGAAGAAGUUUCUUCAGAGAAGAAAGCAUUCAUUUGUGCAUGAGCAUUUGGUAUGACACCUUGGAAAUGGUGUAAAGAACCAAAGAGUUUCACAUUCUAUAUCCUUGAAUUGCGAUAGGAGAAGAUUGAGAAAAGACCAGAUUUUUCUACCCUUGGGUUACAGUGGGAGAAAGAUGGUACAAAUUUUGCGUCUCAAUGGAUGGAACUUUGAAUUUUACAGUUAGGGGCAAUGUGAUCAAGCAUUUCUUUAAAGAUGCGAGUUGAACAAAAGGUGUUGUAGCACGUCAGUGAUACGGUCUUAAUAAACUUUGAGUAAUGACAACCUAAGCGGGAUCAUUCUCGGAAAAAAUAAUAUUCUACAUUCAUUGAAAUGUCAUUCAUACAUGUCUAAUUAUGAGCAUUUGAUUCAUUUUGAUCAUGACAUCCUAAUCACUAGGCAUAAUUAGGUUCAUAAUUUGAAUUAUACAGGCCGUGUUCCCUAGAGAACAAACCAGUAAAACUUCAGCCUUAUCUUCCUGAACAGCAGUGGAGUAGGUUGAAAAUAGCAGAUUUUUAUUUCCUUGGCAUUGUAGCGGAGCAGAUUGAAGCCACGGCGGCAAAUCUUAUCUCCUUAGCGUUAAGGCUUGGAUUAGUUGAAGCGGAGCGGAUUGAAGCUGUGGGCAGCGAAACUUAUCUCUUUGGCAUUGAUUAAAAAGAAUGAAGCCACAACGGCAGAUCUUGCUUCCCUGGCGGUGCAAUGGAACAGAUUGAAGUCACAACGGCAGAUCUGGUUUCCCCGACAGUGCAAUUACAAGGAUUGAAGCCACAACGGCAGAUCUUACUUCCCUAGCGGUGCAGUGGAGCAGAUUGAAGUCACAACGACAGAUCUGGUUUCCCCGACUGCGCAAUUACAAAGAUUGAAGCCACAACGGCAGAACUUACUUCCCUGGCGGUGCAGUGGAGCAGAUUGAAGUCACAACAGCAGAUCUGGUUUCCCUCACAGCGCAAUUACAAAGAUUGAAGCCACAACGGCAGAUCUUACUUCCCUGGCGGUGCAGAGGAGUAGAUUGAAGUCACAACGGCAGAUCUAGUUUCCCCGACAGCGUAAUUAAAAAGAUUGAAGCCACAACGACAGAUCUUACUUCCUUGGCGGAGCAGUGGAGCAUGAUUGAAGUCACAACGGUGGAUCUGGUUUCCCCGACAACGCAAUUAAAAAGAUUGAAGCCACAACGGUGGAUUUUACCUCCUUAGCUGUGCAGUUGAACAGAUUGAAGCUACGACGACGGAUCUUGUUUCCUCGACAUUGUAAUUGGAUAAAUUGAAGAAGAUAAUCUUAUUUCCCUGAAGUUGCAAUGGAGAGGAUUAACACCACGGAUCUUAUCUCUCUGAAAUUUCAGUAGAGCAGAUUGUAUCAGACUCAUCUUUGAAGUUGCAGCAGAAUAAGUUGAAGCUACGAGUCUUAUCUUCCUGAAGUUACGGUGGAGCAGACUAAAGAUUGCAAGUUUUGUUCUUUUGAGAAGCUAUAAGGUAUCAAGUCCUAUCUCCUUGAUGUUGCAGUGGAGUGGAUUGAAGCACCAAUUUCUAUACCUCUGAAGAUACGGUAGGAAAGAAUGAGGCUACUUGAAGAAAAGGGUCCUGAAGUCCAGUACGACCAGGCAAAAUUGGCCAUUUCUAAAGUCUUUGCUUUGUUCUCGUUACACGAUAACGAGCAAAGAAUGGCAGCUGUAAUAGGCCAAUUUUGGCCUGGAUAAAAAUAAAUAAAAUAAAAUAACAGUCCAUUUACAUUUCGGCUAAUCCUAAUACAUUUGGCCCAAUAAAGGGCCCAAUUGUGUAAACCCUAGCCUAACUAGCAGAUAGCCUCAGAGGCCACCAUCGCCCCACGCCGCAACAGCACCCGCGCAUUGCGCACGUCGCCCUUGCACGUCGCGCAUGUUGCCCCGCACAACGCACGUCUUCCACUACUUCCAUACUUGCGAGAAAUUGAUCUAAACGGCAGCACAUGUAAAAAAAAUAACAGGAUAGAUAGAUUUUUUUUCAUUUUUUUGUAUAUCUCGGCUAUAAAAGGCCGAUUUUAAUUUGUAAAGGGGGUUAGACAAAUGAUAUAUUGAAAUAGAGAGAAAAUACAAAGGUAAAGAAUCAGAAAAGAAAAAUUUUGGAAGGUGAUUUUCUUCAUUUCUUUUAUUGCUUUCUCUGUUAUUUUUUCUUUUUUUUUGGGUGUGCAAAACAGAAAUAAGGAGGAGAAGAGAAGGUUCUUACUAGUGGUGGCGCGCCAUUGAUGCCCUUGCUGCGUUGCGUCCGAAUCGGAGUUGAAAAGGGGAGGAUUUCGGUGAGAAGCAGAAGAGAAAGAAGCAGUCCUUGCGACUGCUGUUGCUGAAAUUGGAAUGGGGUUUUGAUUUGGGUUUGAAAUGGAUUUUGUUGGCUGCAAAUGAAAUGGGGUUUUAUUAAUGGGCUAUUUACCUUUUUAAUCAUUUUCAUUUUUCCAUCAUUUCAAAAUUAUGAUUUUUGGUUUUUAAAUUUUGCUAUGAAAUAUUGAAAUUGUUUUAUUUUAAUCCCAUUUAAACGCAGUGCGU
rnacentral:lncRNA from 1 species